GCGCCAAUGGUCUAGUGGUUAGGAUGCGGUCCUCCCAUUCCCUUACUGGGCAAGACCGAGACACGAGUUCGAAUCCCGUUUGGCGCA
rfam:Neosartorya fischeri NRRL 181 1099437636245 genomic scaffold, whole genome shotgun sequence.